GAUGAACGCUAGCGGCAGGCCUAACACAUGCAAGUCGAGGGGCAGCACGGAUUGCUUGCAAUCUGGUGGCGACCGGCGCACGGGUGCGUAACGCGUAUACAACCUACCUUUUGGAGGGGAAUAGCCCAGAGAAAUUUGGAUUAAUACCCCAUAGUAUAUAGGAAUCUCCUGAUUUUUAUAUUAAACAUUUAUGGCCAUUAGAUGGGUAUGCGUCCUAUUAGCUAGUUGGUGUGGUAACGGCACACCAAGGCUACGAUAGGUAGGGGUCCUGAGAGGGAGAUCCCCACACUGGUACUGAGACACGGACCAGACUCCUACGGGAGGCAGCAGUGAGGAAUAUUGGACAAUGGGCGAGAGCCUGAUCCAGCCAUGCCGCGUGCAGGAAGACUGCCCUAUGGGUUGUAAACUGCUUUUACAGAGGAAGAACCCACCCCCACGUGGUGGGGGUUUGACGGUACUCUGCGAAUAAGGAUCGGCUAACUCCGUG
rnacentral:rRNA from 1 species